ACAGCAGGCCGCCUUAUCGUCGAGAUCCUCGCAUUUGCGAGGAUUUGGGAGGAAAGUCCGGGCACCAUAGGGAAGCAUAGCGGCUAACGGCCGUCGUCCGCCAUGGCGGAUAGGACCAGUGCAGCAGAAAGAAUGUACAGGUAAUGCUGUAGUGAAACCAGGUAAACUCUAUGCGGUGAAAUGUCACGUAAACCUGUGCCUUGAUUCUGAUAUCUAUCGGAGUUAGGAAAGGGUUCCCGCCCGAUGCAGGAGGGUAGACAGAUUGAGCGUUUUGGUAACAGAACGUCUAGAUAAAUGAUAAGGUGCUAGUUUCAUAUUGUUUGAGGCUGGUAACAGAACCCGGCUUAUAGGCCUGCUUUUUUU
rnacentral:RNase_P_RNA from 1 species